rnacentral:rRNA from 1 species
UGGAAGCGCCGACUGAAGAGGUGUGGAGUUGACUGGUACUAAUAGGUCGAAGGCUUAC